rnacentral:tRNA from 1 species
GCUUUAAGAGUAUGGAAGUAUAUCUAAUUUCCAGUUAGAAGGAUCACGGAAUGAUUAAAGUA